rnacentral:rRNA from 1 species
AUACGGAGGGUGCAAGCGUUAUUCGGAAUCACUGGGCGUAAAGGACACGUAGGCGGGAAGCCAAGUCUGAUGUGAAAUCCUACAGCUUAACUGUAGAACUGCAUUGGAAACUGGUUACCUAGAGUAUGGGAGGGGGAGAUGGAAUUAGUGGUGUAGGGGUAAAAUCCGUAGAUAUCACUAGGAAUACCUAAAGCGAAGGCGAUCUCCUGGAACAUUACUGACGCUAAGGUGUAAAAGCGUGGGGAGCAAACGGGAUUAGAAACCCUAGUAGUCC